rnacentral:rRNA from 1 species
GUAGUUAGCCGGGGCUUUCUAAUGGGGUACCGUCAUUUUUUCGUCCCCCACAACAGAGGUUUACAAUCCGAAAACCUUCUUCCCUCACGCGGCGUUGCUGGGUCAGGCUUGCGCCCAUUGCCCAAUAUUCCCCACUGCUGCCUCCCGUAGGAGUCUGGACCGUGUCUCAGUUCCAGUGUGGCCGAUCAGCCUCUCAGCUCGGCUACCCAUCGCAGGCUUGGUGGGCUGUUAUCUCACCAACUACCUAAUGGGACGCGAACCCCUCCCUCAGCGGAUUGCUCCUUUGACCUCAUCCCGAUGCCGGGUCGUGGUCUUAUGCGGUAUUAGCACUUGUUUCCAGGUGUUAUCCCCCUCUGAAGGUCAGGUUGUUCACGCGUUACUCACCCGUUCGCCACUAAAAUUUAUCUUCCAUCCGAAAACUUCUGAUAAAUCUCCGUUCGACUUGCAUGUGUUAGGCACGCCGCCAGCGUUCGUCCUGAGCCAGAUCAAACUCUGA